rnacentral:rRNA from 1 species
UACGUAGGGUGCGAGCGUUGUCCGGAAUUAUUGGGCGUAAAGAGCUCGUAGGCGGUGUGUCGCGUCGGCCGUGAAAACCUGGGGCUCAACUCUGGGCGUGCGGUCGAUACGGGCAUCACUUGAGUUCGGCAGGGGAGACUGGAAUUCCUGGUGUAGCGGUGAAAUGCGCAGAUAUCAGGAGGAACACCGGUGGCGAAGGCGGUUCUCUGGGCCUGUACUGACGCUGAGGAGCGAAAGCGUGGGGAGCGAACAGG